rnacentral:miRNA from 1 species
UUUCUGACUCAGCCACCUGAGA